CCUACGGGUGGCAGCAGUGGGGAAUAUUGGGCAAUGGAGGCAACUCUGACCCAGCAACGCCGCGUGAAUGAUGAAGGUCUUCGGAUUGUAAAGUUCUUUUCUAAGGGAAGAAGAAAGUGACGGUACCUUAGGAAUAAGCCUCGGUUAACUACGUGCCAGCAGCCGCGGUAAUACGUAGGACGCAAUCGUUAUCCGGAAUGACUGGGGGUAAAGGGUGCGUAGGUUGGUUGGCAAGUUAGUAGCGCAAUUCCGGAGCUCAACUUCGGAAGUACUACUAAAACUGUUGGACUUGAGUGCAGGAGAGGCACUCGGAAUGCGUGGUGUAGCGGUGGAAUGCGUAGAUAUUAGGAGGAACACCAGUGGCGAAGGCGGAUUGCUAGACUGUCACUGACACUGAGGCACGAAAGCGUGGGGAGCAAACAGGAUUAGAUACCCGGGUAGUC
rnacentral:rRNA from 1 species